GUCCCUAGAGACAGCCUGGAACGAUUGGGUGCCAGCUGCGGAAAGGAGAGCAAGGCGACCAAACACAGGGUAAGGUCUAGAGGUGCUCAUAGUUCACUACAGGACAUGUACAUGAAAGUGAAUAAUUAUGUCACAAGGUGCCAAGGGGGCUAGUUACCUCACAUAGGAUCUUAGAAAAGGUCUCCUGGAGACCAUGUCUGAGGUGUGAGUAGGGAUUCUCCGCAGGGCAGGGAAGGACUUGAAAGAGUCUGGCAAUAUGGAGCACAUAAGGAUUAUGGAAGGUGAGCUUGGAGAACAAGGCAGAGUCUAGCCUGUAAAAGGCCUCUUGCAAUUUGUUGAGGAGCCAUGACCUUCUCCCAUGCAUGGUGAAAUGCCCUUAAAGGAUUUUGAAUAGAUUUAAAAGACGCUCAGAAACAAAAAAUGGUAGACUCAAAAUAGACGGUAGGGAUCACUUUCUUCCAUUUUCUUUGAAGAAUCAGAAGCGUUUACCACCACCUGGAUUGUUUUUGGGCUUUCAGCUGUGGCUGCCUGCAGCCCAUCCUGCCCCCAGCACCUAGAGUCAUCUUUAGAAAUGCAAGCCUGAUUGUGGAAUCCACCUUCCUGACACCCUUCAGUGCUCUCCUCUUCGUUACACCUUUGCUAUACAAAGGAUAGUCCAUGGACCUUCAGCGUCAACAUAACCAGGGAGCUUGUUAGAAAUGUAGAAUCUGGUCCAUCCCAAACCUGCUGAAGCAGAAGCUGCAUUUUGCCAAGAUCCCAGGGAAUUUGUGUGCCCAUUAUGGUUUGAGAAGUGCUUCCCAAGAAGACACACGGCAAGCUGGAGGGAUCUUUGCAGAUCAUGCUCCUUUCAUUCUCCAGCCUCAUCUUGUCACUCUCCUCCAUCCGUGCCCACAUCCCCACUGUACUGGACUGCUUGCAGCUCCUUGAAUGCACCAUAGUCUUGUUUUCUUUUUUGCAGUGAUUCUACAUCUUUCCCAUCUUCUCCACCUGGAUGCCUCCAUCCAUCCUUUCAGACUUGCCUUCUCUAGCAAACCUUUCUUGCUAAUUCCCAUGUCUAACACAACACUUCUCCACACUGCAUGGCCAUUAUCCUUUCUGCAUCAGACUAUGAGCACCUUGAAGGCAGUGGCAGUGACUCAUUCAUUGUGGCAUCUGCAGAUUCCAGUGGACUGCCAGGCAUGCAAUAGAAAAUCAAAAAAGAUUUACUGCUAAAUAAUCCUCAACUCCAGUGGCAGCUCCAUGUGCCGUUUCUCUUCUGCUCUGGCCUCGGCUCUUCCUGUGCCUACCUGGGGCUGGGCCUUCAUCUAGGUGUCUGCAUGGAAGGGAGAGGGACCUGGAGGACCAUCGCCAAUCCAUCAAUAGCCUCCCAGUUGAGACGACUUCAGCUCUGAUUUGGGAGAGCUAUGAUAUUGUUUAUAGUAGUGAAUUAAUAUGUGUAAAGGUUACAAAGUAAACAGUUAAAUUAAAUUAAUUGUGCUGGAGCAGGUCAAACAGGCUCCUGAGAGAUGAACAUACACGUCUCUAUUAACUCCACAUUCAGUGAGUGUGGGUAACUUGAAAUUGGCUGGGUCACAAUUUACAUCAUAGAAAUUGGCAAAUAGUACAAAUUAGGGCUCCCUCACCCCUACUUGGGCAUAGAGCUGGUACACUAGCACACCUCUGGUUAUACAUGCAUGCGUGUGCCACCAGAACAGAACACCUAACAGCAGGCACGUUGCCUCUGUUGCCCACCAUUAUAGCUCCCGCACGGAGCAGACAGACUCAUGGCAGGAACUGAAUGCAUGUUUGUUGAGUGGAAGCAUGAACAAAUCCACAAAAUGCCCAAGAUGACGCAAAGAAGGACAUUAGCUCAAAUGUUAAACAUAAGUUAGGAGCUGAGAUAAUGCCAAGAGGAAAAAUGUUCUGUAAUUCUAAGUAAAACCAUCUCUAAGGCAGGGUGCUGCUUAUGAGGGCUCCACAGACACAUGAGGGAGGCCUGGGUCCUGCCCUUGGAAAGAGUCUGACAGCUCGACUUCUGGAAACAGCCAUCUGCACAGGUCAGCAUCUCUUAGCUGACAGGGAGCAGAUCUGCAGACCACAUCACAUUUGAAAUUCCAGAAGAAACUUCUUGGAGUCUGCUCUUGUGCAAAUGAGCCUAGAAAGCCCGUUAACUUUGGAUGGAGGCUUCCACAAUUUGGCUAUUCCAAGUGGGCCCAAAGCUGAGGAAAACCCACCAGCCCUUUGCUUCCUGCUUCCUCUAUUUGUUUGCCCCAGGAAAGCAGAGGUGAUGACAUGAUUUGGCUUGGGCACGACAGGAAUAAACGAUAUUUAAGAGAUGUCA
rnacentral:lncRNA from 1 species